GUCCACGCCGUAAACGAUGAGUGCUAGGUGUCACGGGCUUUGACCCUCGUGGUGCCGCAGCUAACGCGUUAAGCACUCCGCCUGGGGAGUACGGCCGCAAGGCUAAAACUCAAAGGAAUUGACGGGGGCCCGCACAAGCGGUGGAGCAUGUUGUUCAAUUCGACGCAACGCGAAGAACCUUACCUGGGCUAGAAAGUACGGGAAUCCGGGCGAAAGUUCGGAGUGCCUUUCGGGGAACCCGUAGUUAGGUGCUGCAUGGCUGUCGU
rnacentral:rRNA from 1 species